rnacentral:ncRNA from 1 species
AUUAACGAAGGGGCUAGAAUCUUUAGAUUUUAAUGUAACACCUUGUGGGGCGGUACACAAGCAUUCAUAGCGACGUUGCUUUUUGAUUCUUAGAUGUCGGCUUUUCAUAUCAUUGUGAAGCAGAAUUCACCAAGUGGUGGAUUGUUCACCCACCAAUAGGUAAAGUGAGCUGGGUUUAGACCGUCAUGAGACAAGUUAGUUUUACCCUACUGUUGACACUGUCGCAAUAGUAAUUCAAGCUAGUACGAGAGGAAUCAUUUAUUCAAACAAUUGGCCAUCGCGCUUGGUUGAAAAGCUAGUGGCGCGAAGCUACCGUAUGUUGGAUUAUGACUGAAUGCCUCUACGUAAGAAUCCAGGCUAGAAGAGACGCAUGCGCCCGCCGUACCCUUGUUUGACCCGCAGUAGGGGC